rnacentral:rRNA from 1 species
CUACGGGAGGCACCAGUGGGGAAUAUUGCGCAAUGGAGGCAACUCUGACGCAGCCAUGCCGCGUGCAGGAAGAAGGCCUUAUGGGUCGUAAACUGCUUUUAUUUAGGAAUAAACCCCCGAACGUGUUCGGGGCUGAAGGUACUAAACGAAUAAGCACCGGCUAACUCCGUGCCAGCAGCCGCGGUAAUACGGAGGGUGCAAGCGUUAUCCGGAUUUAUUGGGUUUAAAGGGUGCGCAGGCGGGCUAUUAAGUCAGUGGUGAAAUCCCGGGGCUCAACUCCGGAACUGCCAUUGAUACUGAUAGUCUUGAGUUUGGUUGAAGUGGGCGGAAUGUAGCAUGUAGCGGUGAAAUGCAUAGAUAUGCUACAGAACACCAAUCGCGAAGGCAGCUCACUAAGCCAAAACUGACGCUCAUGCACGAAAGCGUGGGGAUCAAACAGGAUUAGAUACCCCUGUAGUC